GGAGGAUGUUGUGUUUGCUUGGCCACAGAAUAUAUACCUGCUCCCCAAAGGUUCACUUUCCAACACCGUAGCCAGAUGCAGAAUUAAUGGAAAACAACCGUCAUCCACAGUGAAAAUGUCCAUAUACCUGAUUUAGACAGAAAUCAGUGUGUGUUCUUCAUACCUCAAAAGCGACAUCCCACCUUUCUGUAAUGUGCAGGCAACUGACUCCACCCCUUUCAUUUGGAGGACUAUAAAAUCGAGGCGCUCCUGGAAGUUGGCAUCUCAUUUGAUUGUAGACUCAACACAAAUAUGAGCUCAACCUCAGGCCUGACCAGUCAAGGGAGGCUCUGUGGCCUAGUGUUGUUUGUUUGAUUUGCAUCCCCAAGUGCUAUUGCUGCUGUCGCUAGCACCAUUACUAAAAAGGGUGGCCCAGUUUGCACUCCAACAUUUAUUUUGGAUCUCAUGGCAUGUCUAACACAACUACAACAUAA